AGCGAACGCUGGCGGCGUGCUUAACACAUGCAAGUCGAACGUGAAAUGUAGCAAUACAGAGUAAAGUGGCGUACGGGUGAGUAACACGUGGGUAAUCUACCAAAGAGCCCGGAAUAACCGGCCGAAAGGCUGGCUAAUACUGGAUAGUUCAAGCCUGUUGUAAUGGCAGGAUUGGGAAAGGGAGCGGGUAACCGCCUUCACUUUUUGAUGAGCCCGCGUCUGAUUAGCUAGUUGGAGGGUAAUGGCCUACCAAGGCUAAGAUCAGUAGCUGGUCUGAGAGGAUGAUCAGCCACACUGGAACUGAACACGGUCCAGACUCCUACGGGAGGCAGCAGUGGGAAUCUUGCGCAAUGGACGAAAGUCUGACGCAGCCACGCC
rnacentral:rRNA from 1 species